rnacentral:SRP_RNA from 1 species
GCUGGGCAUGGUGGCAGAUGCCUGUAAUCCCAGCUACUCAGGAGGCUGAGGCAGGAGAAUUGCUUGAACUCAGGAGGCAGAGGUUGCAGUGAGCCAAGAUCACGCCACUGCACUCCCACCUGGGUGACAAAGUGAGACUCUGUCUCCC